CCUACGGGAGGCAGCAGUGGGGAAUAUUGCACAAUGGGGGAAACCCUGAUGCAGCAACGCCGCGUGAGUGAAGAAGUAUUUCGGUAUGUAAAGCUCUAUCAGCCGGGAAGAAAAUGACAGUACCUGACUACGAAUCCGCGGCUAACUACGUGCCAACAGCCGCGGUACUACGUCGGGGGCAAGCGUUAUCCGGAUUUACUGGGUGUAAAGGGGGCGUAGACGGCUGCGCAAGUCAGAAGUGAAAGCCCGGGGCUCAACCGCGGUACUGCUUUUGAAACUGUGUAGCUAGAGUGCAGGAGAGGUAAGUGGAAUGCCUAGUGUAGCGGUGAAAUGCGUAGAUAUGAGGAGGAACACCGGUGGCGAAGGCGGCUUACUGGACUGUAACUGACGUUGAGGCUCGAAAGCGUGGGGAGCAAACAGGAUUAGAUACCCCAGUAGUC
rnacentral:rRNA from 1 species